rnacentral:misc_RNA from 1 species
CCGUGCUCGGCGGAGCUCCCGAGCCUGCGUCUUGCUGCCCCGUCGCAUGUUGCUUACUCGGAACCGUUUGGUCCCGGUGCAGCGGUGGCGGGCAUGUGAUCGCGGGCUCGGUUGUGGCCGUGUCGGCAUAUGAGUGGUUUUGGAUCCGAAUGUCCUGACGGGCUCCCUGCCUAUGUGCAGCCAACCGUCGGCGACGCGGUCCGUUCAUUUUCGUCGCCCGAGGGUCCUUUGAGUCUCGGUGCGUUGCUAAGUUGCCUGUGCGUAAAACCCCAUUUUAUGGGAACGACAUCUCGACCAUGCGCUCGACUCGCCCCAUCCUGCCUACAGGCACAGAGGGGCGGCACUACAUGCGAUCCUCAAGUUUUCCCCGGGAUGCGGGUGGUCAUGUUCGGCCGUCCGCACUCGGUGGGUGCUCGAGGCAUCGCAAGGACUUGCGGAAGCAGUGUAUGCGGAGAUCCCGUGGGCCGUGGCCUUCGGCCUCCUCUCGGUUGCGAUUCGGCUAUAAAAAAAAGUCGAUCCCGUUCGAAUGACUCUCGAGCCGCCGUAACCUCUCACCUCCCCUCCUGGGGAAGGCGCGGGGCACGACGACCGAUGUCAUCGAGGGCGUGC